rnacentral:tRNA from 1 species
ACAAAGUGUAGCUUAAUUUAAAGCUUUUCGUUUACACCGAAAUUAUGCCUGAUAAUACGGGUCACUCUGA